rnacentral:rRNA from 1 species
GACGAACGCUGGCGGCGUGCUUAACACAUGCAAGUCGAACGGAAAGGCCCUGCUUGCAGGUUACUCGAGUGGCGAACGGGUGAGUAACACGUGGGUGUUCUGCCCUGCACUUCGGAUUAAGCCUGGGAAAGUGGGUCUAUAACCCGAUAGUAGCCAUGUUGAGUGUGGUGGUUGGAAAGUUUUUUCGGUGUAGGAUGAGCUCGCGUCCUAUUAGCUUGUUGGUGGGGUAAUGGCCUACCAAGGCGGCGACGGGUAGCCGGACUGAGAGGGUGGUCCGCCAUACUGGGUCUGAGAUAAGGCACAGACGCGUAAGGGAGGACGAAGGGCGGAAUACUGAACAAGCGACGCAAGCCGGAUGAAGAGAGUCUGCGGAGGGGAUGACGCCCUUAGGGUUGAAGAAUCCUAUCGAUAGGGAAGAAGCUUUUUGUGACGGUACCUACAUAAGAAGCACCGGCUAACUACGUG